rnacentral:rRNA from 1 species
UACGGAAGGGGCAAGCGUUGUUCGGAAUCAUUGGGCGUAAAGGGCGCGUAGGCGGUCGCGUGUGUCUGCUGUGAAAGCACACGGCUCAACCGUGUGAAGUCGGUAGAAACUGCGGGACUUGAGGCUGGGAGAGGUUGGUGGAAUUCCCUGUGUAGCGGUGAAAUGCGUAGAUAUAGGGGAGAACACUCGUGGCGAAGGCGGCCAGCUGGACCAGCCCUGACGCUGAGGCGCGACAGCGUGGGGAGCAAACGGG